AGCCAUGUAGUGAGCACAAAGCGAAUUAUUCUUUCGCCUUUUACUAAAGAAUACCGUGUGCUUGUUGCUUUUAACGGCAUAUGCCUAUUUUUGGAGAGUCUUCUAUUAUUGAAGGGCU
rnacentral:snRNA from 1 species